CUUGUGCAGCCUGCAGAACGGAUCCAGAUCUGUUUGAAGAGGAAAGCAAAUGGCAGAGCAUCUCACCUCUAGACCAACUGACCUUUGCGUCAGCAUCCAUCAGUGUUCAUUACAGGACAUGGUGCCCACAACAGGUCAGGAAACCAGGUAGACUCUGAUUGAACAAUGCAAGAGGAAGAGAGGAUUCUCAUGUGUGUGGAAUAUGAAUGAGGUCAAGGGUGAUAUGACUAACAGAGGCCUCUGCAGCCACUCAGUCUUUGGGUCACCAUCAUCACUGAGUGACCUUGAGAGUCACUCUACCACCACGAGCCUCGAUUGCUUCAUCU
rnacentral:lncRNA from 1 species